rnacentral:rRNA from 1 species
GAACGAACGCUGGCGGCGUGGAUUAGGCAUGCAAGUCGAACGCGAAAGAGGGGGUAACUCCUCGGAGUAGAGUGGCGAACGGGUGAGUAACACGUGAGAAACCUGCCUUCAGCAGGGGGAUAACGACUCCCAACGGGGUGACUAAUACCGCAUGAGACCACGGAUUCGCAUGGAUCUGGGGGUCAAAGGUGGCCUCUGCUUGCAAGCUACCGGCUGAAGAUGGUCUCGCGCCCAUUAGCUAGUUGGUGGGGUAAUGGCCUACCAAGGCGACGAUGGGGUAGCUGGUCUGAGAGGAUGGGUCAGCCACACUGGGACUGAGAUAC